UCCGAUAUGGUAUAGUGGCCAACAUGAUGCCCUCUCAUCCAUGAUAAGCAAUUUGAGAGGAUAGACAUAGCCCCGAGUUCGAUUCUCGGGUUUAGAA